UACGUAGGGUGCAAGCGUUAAUCGGAAUUACUGGGCGUAAAGCGUGCGCAGGCGGUGAUGUAAGACAGGUGUGAAAUCCCCGGGCUUAACCUGGGAACUGCAUUUGUGACUGCAUCGCUGGAGUGCGGCAGAGGGGGGAUGGAAUCCGCGUGUAGCAGUGAAAUGCCGUAGAUAUGCGGAGGAACACCGAUGGCGAAGGGCAUCCC
rnacentral:rRNA from 1 species